CACGGUCAAAAUGUGAAGUCUCCUCUAGUCUCCAUAGAGAAAAUCUCCAAGGUCCCUGAUCAAGCUGGCUAACAGACAGAUAGAUCCUGGACCACCAAAGGGAGAUACAACUACUUCUUAUCCCAUUGCAUUGCUGACAACAAUAACUGAGACAAUGUACACAUGGAAGGCACUUGAUCCCCAGCCUGGUACAAAGCCAGCCAACUCUCCCAAUUCCCCUUUGUGAAGGGAGAAUGACUUGAGAAAAUAUUAACCUCUGCGCCAAAGAUUAAUCCUUGAACAGGAGUCAUAGGAGAUUAAAGACCUUUUCAGCA